rnacentral:rRNA from 1 species
AUUGAACGCUGGCGGCAUGCCUUACACAUGCAAGUCGAACGGUAACAGGUCUUCGGAUGCUGACGAGUGGCGAACGGGUGAGUAAUACAUCGGAACGUGCCUAGUAGUGGGGGAUAACUACUCGAAAGAGUGGCUAAUACCGCAUGGGAUCUACGGAGGAAAGCAGGGGAUCGCAAGACCUUGUGCUACUAGAGCGGCCGAGGGCAGAUUAGGUAGUUGGUGGGAUAAAAGCUUACCACGCCGACGAUCUGUAGCUGGUCUGAGAGGACGAUCAGCCACACUGGGACUGAGACACGGACCAGACUCCUACGGGAGGCAGCAGUGAGGAAUAUUGGUCAAUGGGGGCAACCCUGAACCAGCCAUGCCGCGUGCAGGAAGACGGCUCUAUGAGUUGUAAACUGCUUUUAAACAGGGAUAAAGCACAGUAUGUAUACUGUGUUGAAGGUACUGUAAGAAUAAGGAUCGGCUAACUCCGUGCCAGCAGCCGCCGUAA